CGCGUGGCGAACGGGAGCGUAACACGUGGGCAACUUGCCCUCAAGUGGGGAAUAACCCACCGAAAGUUGGGCUAAUACCGCAUAACAUUCCGAUGGCUGCUGCUGUUGGAAUCAAAGGCCGCAAGGCCGCUGGAGGUGGGGCCCGCGCCCGAUUAGCUUGUUGGCGAGGUAAUGGCACACCAAGGCUAUGAUCGGUAGCCGGUCUGAGAGGAUGGCCGGCCACACUGGAACUGAGACACGGUCCAAACUCCUACGGGAGGCAGCAGUGGGGAAUCUUGCGCAAUGGGCGAAAGCCUGACGCAGCAACGCCGCGUGGGGGAUGAAGCUUCUCGGAGUGUAAACCCCUUUCGACCCGGACGAAACCCCGCAAGGGAUUGACGGUACGGGUAUAAGAAGCCCCGGCUAACUACGUGCCAGCAGCCGCGGUAAAACGUAGGGGGCCAGCGUUGCUCGGAAUUACUGGGCGUAAAGGGUCUGUAGGCGGUGCGGCAAGUCGGAAGUGAAAUCUCAGGGCUUAACCCCUGAGGCUGCUCCCGA
rnacentral:rRNA from 1 species